CCUACGGGAGGCUGCAGUGGGGAAUCUUGGACAAUGGGGGCAACCCUGAUCCAGCAAUGCCGCGUGGGUGAAGAAGGCCUUCGGGUUGUAAAGCCCUUUCGGCAGGGAAGAAAUCGGCGGGGCGAAUAACCCUGCUGGAUGACGGUACCUGCAGAAGAAGCACCGGCUAACUACGUGCCAGCAGCCGCGGUAAUACGUAGGGUGCGAGCGUUAAUCGGAUUUACUGGGCGUAAAGCGUGCGCAGGCGGCCCGUUAAGACAGGUGUGAAAUCCCUGGGCUCAACCUAGGAAUUGCGCUUGUGACUGGCGGGCUCGAGUACGGUAGAGGGGGGUGGAAUUCCUGGUGUAGCAGUGAAAUGCGUAGAGAUCAGGAGGAACACCGAUGGCGAAGGCAGCCCCCUGGGCCUGUACUGACGCUCAUGCACGAAAGCGUGGGGAGCA
rnacentral:rRNA from 1 species